rnacentral:lncRNA from 1 species
UUAUGAAAAUAAUUUUUGGAGAGAAGCCAAGACUUAAAAUUAGAGUAGGAUCAAGAUCACAAAUAUAAAUAAGACUCAAAAUAAAGGUCUUCAUUUAUUUUCAUUGCUUCAUUGCUUCUCUUGAUCUUUGUCUUGAACUUCUUGUUUUUGUACUCCAAUUUUGGUCCGUUAAUUGAUUGCAUAUCAUUUCUACAAAACAAAUAUACUUUAGUAUAAACAGAAGUAUAUCUCAAUAAUAACUUACGAUUAUUUGGCAUGUGUAAUAUUUUCCAUCUUCAUCGGUUUGUCAUUUAUCAAAACUUAUACAAAUGAACACAUUAGUUUUAACAACAUAAUAAAUGUGUUCUAACAAUUUUUCCCUUUUUGAUAAUGGCAAACCUAUAUGGGGAUAUGUAUUAAAAAAAAAUGUUAUAAGAUAAUUAUGCCAAAUACAAGAUAAGUUAUAAUUGAGUUCCCCCUCAAUUUAUGCCAAAGUUGAAAUCAAAAUACUAAAAAUUUAAAUAAUGUAAAUGCACAAAAAUCAUAUACCCUUCUCUUCCCCCUUUUGACAUUAACAAAAAGGCAAUUUUAUUGAUGAAAGGAAAGAGUACAAAACAAUUAAAAAAAUACAUUUAAAAAUCAUCAUCAAGUUCGUCGCUUGAAUCAUUGGAAGAGUGGACUUGAGUGUAGGGGUAGUUGACAUGGUCAAAGUACCCGUGAAGUUCAUUGCUCAAUCUUCGCACUUGCCUUUCCGUACGGGAUACAUUUCUAUCAAUCCGAUCUAUUGAGGUUGAUAGAGUAGUUGAAAGUGAAGCUAUUUGCUCAGAAAUACUUUCAAGUGAAAUAUCCGAGCGACGACUUGGUUGAGGAGUUGGUUGAGUAGGCGGAGGAGGAGGAGGAGCGGG